rnacentral:sRNA from 1 species
GUCGUGAGAUGUUGGGUUAAGUCCCGCAACGAGCGCAACCCUUGUCUCAUGUUGCCAGCACGUAAUGGUGGGGACUCGUGAGAGACUGCCGGGGUCAACUCGGAGGAAGGUGGGGAUGACGUCAAGUCAUCAUGCCCCUUAUGUCCAGGGCUUCACACAUGCUACAAUGGCCGGUACAAAGGGCUGCGAUGCCGUGAGGUGGAGCGAAUCCUUUCAAAGCCGGUCUCAGUUCGGAUCGGGGUCUGCAACUCGACCCCGUGAAGUCGGAGUCGCUAGUAAUCGCAGAUCAGCAACGCUGCGGUGAAUACGUUCCCGGGCCUUGUACACACCGCCCGUCACGUCAUGAAAGUCGGUAACACCCGAAGCCGGUGGCCUAACCCCUUGUGGGAGGGAGCCGUCGAAGGUGGGAUCGGCGAUUGGGACGAAGUCGUAACAAGGUAGCCGUACCGGAAGGUGCGGCUGGAUCACCUCCUUUCUAAGGAGCACCACGAGACUCAAGCCGGCCCGCAUCUCGCGGAUCACCGAUGUCUUGGGCGAAUCUGUGGAUGGCCGUCACCUGUAGUGGGUGGGGGUCUGGUGCACAACAAACGCGUGGUCGGUGGGGAAACACCGGCCGGAAUUGAUCAUCAGACACACUAUUGGGCUUUGAGACAACAGGCCCGCCUUCUCUUCGUCCCGUGUGUUGGGAAACCGGAGAGGGUUGCGCUCGGGAUGUUGGUCCGGGUGGCGUGUUGUUGCCCUGCUUUGGUGGUGGGGUGUGGUGUUUGAUUUGUGGAUAGUGGUUGCGAGCAUCGAGCGCGCAAGGUUCCGUGCCUUUUUGGGGUGCGGGUUUUUGUGUGUCUGAUGUGCAAUUUUUCUGAUGCCCGCAUGCGCUUGUCGGUGUUUCGGCACUGUGGGUGUGUGUGGGUGACUCAUUUUUUGGUUUUGUGUUGUAAGUGUUUAAGGGCGCAUGGUGGAUGCCUUGGCACUGGGAGCCGAUGAAGGACGUGGGAGGCUGCGUUAUGCCUCGGGGAGCUGUCAACCGAGCGUGGAUCCGAGGAUGU